CGCACGUAAGCACGUACGCACGCACGUCUCUCGCUUUGGCAUACUUAAGGCCUCAGUUCUCGGCCCCGCUUGGCAGUUCUCUUAAGGUCGGCAGCGGCAGCGAGGUCGGCAGCGGCAGCGAGGUCGGCAGCGGCAGCGAGGUCGGCAGCGGCAGCGAGGUCGGCAGCGGCAGCGAGGUCCGCUGUGCUCUUCCGCGGACUCUGAAUCAUGGCGACCACGGCCACGAUGGCGACCUCGGGCUCGGCGCGAAAGCGGCUGCUCAAAGAGGAAGACAUGACUAAAGUGGAAUUCGAGACCAGCGAGGAGGUGGAUGUGACCCCCACGUUCGACACCAUGGGCCUGCGGGAGGACCUGCUGCGGGGCAUCUACGCUUACGGUUUUGAAAAACCAUCAGCAAUCCAGCAACGAGCAAUCAAGCAGAUCAUCAAAGGGAGAGAUGUCAUCGCACAGUCUCAGUCCGGCACAGGAAAAACAGCCACCUUGAGUAUCUCAGUCCUCCAGUGUUUGGAUAUUCAGCUUCGUGAAACUCAAGCUUUGAUCUUGGCUCCCACAAGAGAGUUGGCUGUGCAGAUCCAGAAGGGGCUGCUUGCUCUCGGUGACUACAUGAAUGUCCAGUGCCAUGCCUGCAUUGGAGGCACCAAUGUUGGUGAGGACAUCAGGAAGCUGGAUUAUGGACAGCAUGUUGUCGCGGGCACUCCAGGGCGUGUUUUUGAUAUGAUUCGUCGCAGAAGGCUAAGGACACGUGCUAUCAAAAUGUUGGUUUUGGAUGAAGCUGAUGAAAUGUUGAAUAAAGGUUUCAAAGAGCAGAUUUACGAUGUAUACAGGUACCUGCCUCCAGCCACACAGGUGGUUCUCAUCAGUGCCACGCUGCCACACGAGAUUCUGGAGAUGACCAACAAGUUCAUGACCGACCCAAUCCGCAUCUUGGUGAAACGUGAUGAAUUGACUCUGGAAGGCAUCAAGCAAUUUUUCGUGGCAGUGGAGAGGGAAGAGUGGAAAUUUGACACUCUGUGUGACCUCUACGACACACUGACCAUCACUCAGGCGGUCAUCUUCUGCAACACCAAAAGAAAGGUGGACUGGCUGACGGAGAAAAUGAGGGAAGCCAACUUCACCGUAUCCUCAAUGCAUGGAGACAUGCCCCAGAAAGAGCGGGAGUCCAUCAUGAAGGAGUUCCGGUCGGGCGCCAGCCGAGUGCUUAUUUCUACAGAUGUCUGGGCCAGGGGGUUGGAUGUCCCUCAGGUGUCCCUCAUCAUUAACUACGAUCUCCCCAAUAACAGAGAAUUGUCCAUACACAGAAUUGGGAGAUCAGGUCGAUACGGCCGGAAGGGUGUGGCCAUUAACUUUGUAAAGAAUGACGACAUCCGCAUCCUCAGAGAUAUCGAGCAGUACUAUUCCACUCAGAUUGAUGAGAUGCCGAUGAACGUUGCUGAUCUUAUCUGAAGCAGCAGAUCAGUUGGAUGAGGGAGACUGUUCACCUGCUGUGUACUCCUGUUUGGAAGUAUUUGGAUCCAGAUUCUACUUGAUGGGGUUUAUAUGGACUUUCUUCUCAUAAAUGGCCUCCCGUCUCCCUUCCUUUGAAGAGGAUAUGGGGAUUCUGCUCCCUUUUCUUAUUUACAUAGUCUCCCUCUGUUGCCCAGGCUGGAGCGCAGUGGCGCGAUCUCCUCUCACCGCAAGCUCCACUUCCUGGGUUCAUGCCAUUCUCCUACCUCAGCCUCCCACGUAGCUGGGAGUACAGGCGGCCGCCACCAUGCCAGGCUAAUUUUUUUGUAUUUUCAGUAGAGACGGGGUAUCACCGUGUUAGCCAAGAUGGUCUCGAUCUCCUGACCUCGUGAUCCACCCACCUCGGCCUCCCAAAGUGCUGGGAUUACAGGCGUGAGCCACUGCACCUAAACCAUUUCACUCACUUCUCUAAUCUUUUUUUUUGGAAAGAGUUUCAUCGUUGAUGAGUUUUGCUCUGCUGCCCAGGCUGAAGAGCAGUGGCACCAUCACAACUCAUUGCAGCCACAACCUCCUGGGCUCAAGCUAUCCUCUCACCUCAGCCUCCUGAGUAGCUGGGACUACAGGUGCAUGCCAGCACAUCUGGCUAAUAUUUAAAUUUUUUGUAGAGACAGGGUCUCACUUUGUGGCCUAGGCUGGUCUGUCACUCAUGGGUUUAAGUGAUUCUCCCAUCUUGGCCUUACAAAGUGCUGGGAUAACAGGUGUGAGCCACCAUGCCUGGCUUUAUUUUUCUAAUUUUUUUAUCUGUUUGUUUUUUUGAGAGCCCAGGAUCUCCCUGUCGCCCAGGCAGGAGUAUAGUGGCAGGAUCAUGACUUACCACAAUGUUGACAAACUACAACAGAUAAUUAUCUGUUUAAAUAUUUAAAUUAUUAAAGUAUUUAAGUUAUCUGUUGAAAUAGUUAAAGUAAUUACCUGUAGCUUUAUAGGCACACAGCACCACAGCUGCCCAAUUUUUAAUUUUUUUUUUUUUUUUUAAAUGAUACAAGCACACGUAUGUUCACUGCAGCACUAUUCACAUUAGCAAAGACAUGGAAUCAACCCAAAUGCCCACCAGUGAAAGACUGGAUAAAGAAAAUGUGGCACACAUACACCAUGGAAUACUAUGCAGCCAUAAAAAGGAAUGAGAUCAUGUCCCUUGCAGGGACAUGGAUGGAACUAGAAGCCACCAUCCUCAGCAAACUAACACCGGAACAAAAAACCAAACACCGCAUGUUCUCACCCAUAAGUGGGAGUUGAACAACGAGAACACAUGGACACAGGGAGGGGAAUAACACACACUGGGGCCUGCUGAGGGGUGGGGUUUGGGGAGGGAGAACAUUAGGAAAAAUAGCUAAUGGAUGCUGGGCUUAAUACCUGGGUGAUUGGUUGAUAGGUGCAGCAAGUUACCAUGGCACACGCUGAACUGUGUAACAAACCUGCACAUCCUGCACAUGUACCUCGGAACUUAAAAUUUAAAAAAAAAAAAAAAAAAAAAAGAA